rnacentral:tRNA from 2 species
CAGGGCGUGGCUAAACAGCAAAGCACCUCCCUUACACCGAGAAGAUGUCCGUGCAACUCGGACCGCCCUGA